rnacentral:rRNA from 1 species
GAUGAACGCUAGCGACAGGCCUAACACAUGCAAGUCGAGGGGCAGCACAUGAGUAGCAAUACGAUGGUGGCGACCGGCGCACGAGUGAGUAACACGUAUGCAACCUGCCUGUAAGAGGGGAAUAACCCGGAGAAAUUCGGACUAAUACCGCAUAAUACCACGAGACUGCAUGGUUUUGNGGUUAAACAUUUAUGGCUUACAGAUGGGCAUGCGUAUGAUUAGAUAGUUGGUAGGGUAACGGCCUACCAAGUCUACGAUCAUUAGGGGUCUGAGAGGAAGUCCCCACACUGGUACUGAGACACGGACCAGACUCCUACGGAGGCAGCAGUGAGGAAUAU